rnacentral:rRNA from 1 species
GACGAACGCUGGCGGCGUGCCUAAUACAUGCAAGUAGAACGCUGAAGGAGGAGCUUGCUUCUCUGGAUGAGUUGCGAACGGGUGAGUAACGCGUAGGUAACCUGCCUGGUAGCGGGGGAUAACUAUUGGAAACGAUAGCUAAUACCGCAUAAGAGUAGAUGUUGCAUGACAUUUGCUUAAAAGUUGCAAUUGCAUCACUACCAGAUGGACCUGCGUUGUAUUAGCUAGUUGGUGAGGUAACGGCUCACCAAGGCAACGAUACAUAGCCGACCUGAGAGGGUGAUCGGCCACACUGGGACUGAGACACGGCCCAGAGUACUACGGGAGGCAGCAGUAGGGAAUCUUCGGCAAUGGACGGAAGUCUGACCGAGCAACGCCGCGUGAGAGAAGAAGGUUUUCGGAUCGUAAAGAUCGGUUGUAAGAGAAGAACGAGUGUGAGAGUGGAAAGUUCACACUGUGACGGUAUCUUACCAGAAAGGGACGGCUAACUACGUG